rnacentral:rRNA from 1 species
CAGUAGCCGCGGUAAUACGAAGGGGGCUAGCGUUGUUCGGAAUUACUGGGCGUAAAGCGCACGUAGGCGGACAUUUAAGUCAGGGGUAAAAUCCCGGGGCUCAACCCCGGAACUGCCUUUGAUACUGGGUGUCUAGAGUAUGGAAGAGGUGAGUGGAAUUCCGAGUGUAGAGGUGAAAUUCGUAGAUAUUCGGAGGAACACCAGUGGCGAAGGCGGCUCACUGGUCCAUUACUGACGCUGAGGUGCGAAAGCGUGGGGAGCAAACAGGAUUAGAUACCCCGGUAGUCCCUGUCUCUUAUAC